ACUUUCAGUAGGGAGGAAGGUAGUGUAGUUAACACCUGCAUUAUUUGACGUUACCUACAGAAGAAGCACCGGCUAACUCCGUGCCAGCAGCCGCGGUAAUACGGAGGGUGCGAGCGUUAAUCGGAAUUACUGGGCGUAAAGCGCAUGCAGGCGGCCUGUUAAGUCAGAUGUGAAAGACCCGGGGCGUUAACCUCGGAAUUGCAUUUGUAAACUAGGCAGGCUAGAGUCUUGUAGAGGGGGGUAGGGAAGUUUCUAGGUGUAGCGGUGAAAUAGCGUAGAGAUCUGAAGGAAUACCAGUGGCGAAGGCGGCCCCCUCGGACAAAGACUGACGCUCAGAUGCGAAAGCGUGGGGAGCAAACAGGAUUAGAUACCCUGGUAG
rnacentral:rRNA from 1 species